CCCAGCCCUUGACCAGCGUGAAACUCUGUCCAGCAGCAAAAUCAGUGGCAAAAAAUAUAUUGACUUGGAUGGGGUUGGUCGGCUGAUUUGUCAUGCCCUCGUGCCACUCUGCGAGGAAUGACCUGCUUAUGUGAUAAACUGAUCUCAGGGAUGCUCUGCUUUUUUUUGCCAUGGUAAGACCUACUUCCCCUCAAAUCUCAGUUUGGAGAAG